AACUACGUGCCAUCAGCCGCGUUAAUACGUAUGGUGCGAGCGUUAAUCGAAAUUACUGGGCGUAAAGCGUGCGCAGGCGGUUAUAUAAGACAGAUGUGAAAUCCCCGGGCUCAACCUGGGAACUGCAUUUGAGACUGUAUAACUAGAGUACGGCAAAGGGGGAUGGAAUUACGCGUGUAACAAUGAAAUGCGUAAAUGUGCCGAGGAACACCGAUGGUGAAGGUAAUCCCCUGGACCUGGACUGACACUCAUGCUCAAAAGCGUGGGGAGCAAACAGGAUUAAAUACCCUGGUUAUCUACGCCCUAAACGAUGUCAACUGGAUGUUGCUACUUCACUGACUCAUUAACCAAGCUAACGCGUGAAGUUGACCGCCUGGCGAGUACAGUCACAAGGUUGAAACUCAAAUGAAUUGACGGA
rnacentral:rRNA from 1 species